GAUGAAGAACGUAGUGAAAUGCGAUAAGUAAUGUGAAUUGCAGAAUUCAGUGAAUCAUCGAAUCUUUGAACGCACAUUGCGCCCGCCAGUAUUCUGGCGGGCAUGCCUGUUCGAGCGUCAUUUCAACCAUCAAGCCCCAGGCUUGUGUUGGGGACCUGCGGCUGCCGCAGGCCCUGAAAACCAGUGGCGGGCUCGCUGUCACACCGGGCGUAGUAGAUUUUAUCUCGCUCAGGGCGUGCUGCGGGUUCCGGCCGUUAAAAAGCCUUUUUUACCCAGGUUGACCUCGGAUCAGGUAGGAAGACCCGCUGAACUUAAGCAUAUCAAUAAGCGGAGGA
rnacentral:misc_RNA from 1 species